rnacentral:rRNA from 1 species
AUUGAACGCUGGCGGAAUGCUUUACACAUGCAAGUCGAACGGCAGCACGGGGGCAGCCCUGGUGGCGAGUGGCGAACGGGUGAGUAAUACAUCGGAACGUGCCCGGUCGUGGGGGAUAACGUAGCGAAAGUUACGCUAAUACCGCAUACGAUCUGAGGAUGAAAGCGGGGGACCUUCGGUCCUCGCGCGAUCGGAGCGGCCGAUGUCAGAUUAGGUAGUUGGUGGGGUAAAGGCCUACCAAGCCGACGAUCUGUAGCUGGUCUGAGAGGACGACCAGCCACACUGGGACUGAGCCACGGCCCAGACUCCUACGGGAGGCAGCAGUGGGGAAUUUUGGACAAUGGGCGCAAGCCUGAUCCAGCCAUUCCGCGUGCAGGACGAAGGCCUUCGGGUUGUAAACUGCUUUUGUACGGAACGAAAAGGCUCUGGCUAAUACCUGGGGCUCAUGACGGUACCGUAAGAAUAAGCACCGGCUAACUACGUG